CAUGAACUUCUCAAAAUCAAAAGGGAAUUAAGAGCCCAAUUGGAUGCAUGAACUCAAAUUUCGAAUAAUCUGAGCUUGUUCAACGAUUUGCGUUAAGGAAGAAAGUUCGAGUCAAGUGAAGCAACAAGGGAAUCAAGACCGAGGCGUUAAGGAAGAAAGUUCGAGUCAAGUGAAGCAACAAGGGAAUCAAGACCGAGGUAAAUCUCAUGUCUAGCUAUCAAGCUUUGCCCGGUUCGAACACGCCUCAAGCCCGUCAAGCGUUCCGCAUUUUGUAAAAGUCAAUGUUUAAUACUUUGUCACUUAUGUCUA